UACAGAGGUCUCAAGCGUUGUUCGGAUUCAUUGGGCGUAAAGGGUGCGUAGGUGGCGCGGUAAGUCGGGUGUGAAAUUUCGGAGCUUAACUCCGAAACUGCAUUCGAUACUGCCGUGCUUGAGGACUGGAGAGGAGACUGGAAUUCAUGGUGUAGCAGUGAAAUGCGUAGAGAUCAUGAGGAAGACCAGUGGCGAAGGCGGGUCUCUGGACAGUUCCUGACACUGAGGCACGAAGGCCAGGGGAGCAAACGGG
rnacentral:rRNA from 1 species